rnacentral:lncRNA from 1 species
GAGAAGGUGGUAAACAACGUCAAGCAAGUAUCGGCCGAGAGGAAAUUGGCCACCGUUAGCCAGUCUCUCUGCUGCCGAUAGAUAGACGGAAGUCAGUCCUGCCGAUCGACCACAGAAUACAAACUUGUCCAGCCACAUGUUCAGAAAGGUGGUUUGCUCCUUUAUGGUGACAGGCCCUCUCCCGCGGUACUUCUGAAUGUACCCUGACCAAACCGCCGAUAGCGCGAGUCUCCACUUUGGCACUGGGGGCAGUAUCAAAAAAGUGGGUGCUAUCGGCAGAAGAUAUAUCUAGACCAGUGAGCAUGGCUAUAUCGGCAAGGGUAGGAGAAGCAGGGCCGUGGCCAAAAACAAAAGCAUUGAGGGUGUCUGACCAAAAGUAGGACGCAGCUAUCAGCAGUGACUCGUUCCUGUGCAUAUCGGCAAUGGAUAGCCUAAUGCAUUGGGCUAGCUUCCUUUCGCCCCACUGGACUUCAUAAGAAUUGCUGACCCUCAAGAACCAGUCUUUCCACCCUACGGUAGGGCUGGGCCAAGAGCGAAAAGUGUCUUUCCACAGAUCUAAAGAAAAUUUUUCAGCUCUAAAGGGGAUCCUGUUGGUUUCUGCGUUGAUAAGGUUGGUUGGAUCUGAAUCCCCUAGAGGGCCGAGACAUUGAAGGUGUGGUUGAUCGGUGGGGAUGACAAUUUUAUUGGACAACUCCUAGUGAUUUUGGGGGAAUAAAAAAUACAAAGAAAAAGGAAAAGGAAAAUAUUCAGUAAGAUGAAUCGCGGAUGAACAGGAAUAAAAAAAAAUACAGAAGAUGAGAUGGAGAUCUGACCUCAGGGACGACGAAGCCAAUGGCCAUCUUGUCGUGAAGAGGACGUUGGAGGGCACUGGAGUUGAUGAAGAGGAGUGCUUGUCGGAGGUCUCGAAGGUUGUGAAUGGCGCCGCCGCUGGAAAAGUAAAAGUAGGGAUGGUGAAGUGGUGUGUUGGAGAAGGAGUACCCGAGAGGGAACUAUUUAUAGGAUAAAACGGGCAAGGGCAAAUCUGACUUAUCUCUUUGCCGCAUCCGAGAGACCCGGGGAUGCUCAGGUAGAUAUGGUAACUGUUCGCACGGUAAUCAAGGGAUUGUGCAGGUGAUUUGACGGGGAGCGGUCAUUACUUGGAGAUAUUUUACUGUACAGGAUCUUCUGGUCGGUCCAUCGGCAGCAUACUGUAACGGUCAUAUUGCCGAUGGGCGGAUAAAGUAAAAGGUAGCCAUUUAUACGAACGUCCUGAUUAGUCCAUCGGUAGAUCUUCGUAACGGUAAUAUUGCUGAUGUGCGGAUGAGAAGGAAGUGCCCGUUCAGGAAGUUGAGGAUUUCGAGGAAUUUGCAGGAG